UCAUGCUUGUAGUACGUGGGACACUCAGUAAUGCCUGACACCAGGUCACCUCUGAUCACUUUAAGGACAUCAGCAUUGUCUUCCUCAACAUAUCUCCCAAAGCCUUGAUGAAAAGAAUCUCUCCUGGACAUUUCCAGAGUAGAUGGUGGUUAUAUUUGGUACCAAGAAGUUGCAGAGAGUAAUAGGUUGAUAAAUGAGAGUUCAUCGUGAUAUUGUGGAGAAUCAGCAGCCACCUGCAAAAUAAACACCUCAAGAGAAAUCAUUGCAGUUCUUCCCCAAAAUUACAAGGAAUGGAGGCUGGGAAACUACAUUUCUGAGACUCCUUCAUCAUCAGGAUGCCAGAUAAUAUUUUAAGGUCGGAAGAGAGAAUAUCAUUCUGCUUGUAUGAGAAAGGACUGGACGCAUUUCUGUCAAAUUGGGAGUAUAUGGGGAGCACCUCUGUACAAUGGUGGCUUUGAAUAUAGUCCUGAGAAAAUGAAGAAACAAGCCAUGUGCCCACAUAAAGAAAAUGUGUUUCAAGCAUAGAGAAGAACAAGUGCAAAGAUUAUCAAUAGGGAUGUGUUUGGCUUUAAAGGAUGAAGAAGUCAUAGAUGAACAAAAUGACAAGUGACAAAGUCAGAUUGGUAGAGACACGAUCAGAUUAUGAGGCAUCUUGAGCUAAAAAAAUGUAAUUUUACUCUGGCCAAAUAAGUCAUGAGAAAAGUUUUAAGUUUUAAAGAAGAAGAGUUUACAGAAAAAGAGCGGCAUGAAAUGAGGAAUUUUAAUAAAACCUUAAAGAGAUCACUGUGUGAAAUUGUAUAGACACAAUAA